rnacentral:rRNA from 1 species
AUUGAACGCUGGCGGCAUGCCUUACACAUGCAAGUCGAACGGUAACAGGUCUUCGGAUGCUGACGAGUGGCGAACGGGUGAGUAAUACAUCGGAACGUGCCUAGUAGUGGGGGAUAACUACUCGAAAGAGUGGCUAAUACCGCAUGAGAUCUACGGAUGAAAGCAGGGGAUCGCAAGACCUUGUGCUACUAGAGCGGCCGAUGGCAGAUUAGGUAGUUGGUGGGAUAAAAGCCUACCAAGCCGACGAUCUGUAGCUGGUCUGAGAGGACGAUCAGCCACACUGGGACUGAGACACGGCCCAGACCCCUACGGGAGGCAGCAGUGGGGAAUUUUGGACAAUGGGCGAAAGCCUGAUCCAGCAAUGCCGCGUGCAGGAUGAAGGCCUUCGGGUUGUAAACUGCUUUUGUACGGAACGAAAAGCCCCGGGUUAAUACCCUGGGGUCAUGACGGUACCGUAAGAAUAAGCACCGGCUAACUACGUGCCAGCAGCCGCCGUAA